AUCGAACGCUGGCGGCAUGCUUUACACAUGCAAGUCGAACGGUAACAGGCCUUCGGGUUCUGAUGCGCGGCGAACGGGCGAGUAAUGAACAGGAACGUAACCAGACCUGGGGGAUAAGGUAGCGAAAGCAGAGUUAAUACCGUACCUGAUCGGAGGAUGAACUCGGGGGACCGGGCAGCAAUGUUUCGCCUGGCGCCUUUGGACUGGCCGAUGAUGGAUUAGCUAGUUGGGGGGGUAAAGACCUACCCAGGCGACGAUCCGUAGCUGGUCUGAGAGGACGACCAGCGGCACUGGAACUGGGACACGGACCAGAGUCCUACGGGAGGCAGCAGUGGGGAAUGUUGGACAAUGGUCGGGAGCCUGAUCCAACGAUGCCGAGUGUGAGAAGACAGCCUUCGGGUUGUGAAGCCCUCCUGGGGGGAGCAAACCGCUGUCGGCUGUGACGAAGCGUUAGUGACGGUACCGGCAGAAUAAGCACCGGCUAACUACGUG
rnacentral:rRNA from 1 species